GAUGAACGCUAGCGGCAGGCUUAACACAUGCAAGUCGAGGGUAUAGUUCUUCGGAGCUAGAGACCGGCGCACGGGUGCGUAACGCGUAUGCAAUCUACCUUUUACAGAGGGAUAGCCCAGAGAAAUUUGGAUUAAUACCUCAUAGUAUGUGAGAAUCGCAUGGUUUCACAUUAAAGUUCCAACGGUAAAGAUGAGCAUGCGUCCAUUAGCUAGAUGGUAAGGUAACGGCUUACCAAGGCUAACGAUGGGUAGGGUCCUGAGAGGGANAUCCCCCANACUGGUACUGAGACACGGACCAGACUCCUACGGGAGGCAGCAGUGAGGAA
rnacentral:rRNA from 1 species